UCCAGACUCCUACGGGAGGCAGCAGUGGGGAAUAUUGCACAAUGGGGGGAACCCUGAUGCAGCGACGCCGCGUGGGCGAGGAAGUAUUUCGGUAUGUAAAGCCCUAUCGGCAGGGAAGAAGAAAUGACGGUACCUGAAUAAGAAGCACCGGCUAAAUACGUGCCAGCAGCCGCGGUAAUACGUAUGGUGCAAGCGUUAUCCGGAUUUACUGGGUGUAAAGGGAGCGUAGACGGCAAUGCAAGCCAGAUGUGAAAGCCCGGGGCUCAACCCCGGGACUGCAUUUGGAACUGUGUAGCUGGAGUGUCGGAGAGGCAGGCGGAAUUCCUAGUGUAGCGGUGAAAUGCGUAGAUAUUAGGAGGAACACCAGUGGCGAAGGCGGCCUGCUGGACGAUGACUGACGUUGAGGCUCGAAAGCGUGGGGAGCAAACAGGAUUAGAUACCCCGGUA
rnacentral:rRNA from 1 species